rnacentral:lncRNA from 1 species
UUGGUUUAGGAUUUAGGAUUUGGAUUAGCGUUUGAUUUAGGGUUUAGAAUUUGGUUAGGAUUUGAUUUAGGAUUUAGAAUUUGUAUUAGGAUUUGAUUAGGGUUUGGUUUAAGGUUUAGGAUUUGGAUUAGAAUUUGAUUAGGAUUUGAUUUAGGAUUUAGGGUUUGAUUAGGGUUUGGUUUAGGAUUUGGUUGGAGUUUGGUUUAAGAUUUAUUUAGGAUUUGAUUUAGGAUUUAAGAUUUGGUUAGGAUUUGAUUUAGAGUUUAGGAUUUGAUUAGGGUUUGGUUUAAGAUUUAGAGUUUGUAUUAGGAUUUGGUUUAGGAUUUAGGACUUAGAUUAGAAUUUGAUUAGGAUUUGAUUUAGGGUUUAGGAUUUGGUUUAGGAUUUGGUUUAGGAUUUGGUUAGGAUUUGGUUAGGAUUUGGUUUAGGAUUUGGUUGGAAUUUGAUUUAAGAUUUAUUUAGGGUUUGAUUUAGGAUUUAGGGUUUGAUUAGGAUUUGAUUUUGGUUUUAGGAUUUGAUUAGGAUUUGGUUUAGGGUUAGGAUUUGUAUUAAGAUUUGGUUAGGAUUUUAUUUAAGGUUUGGAUUAGGGUUUGGUUUAGGAUUUAGGAUGUAGGAUUUGGAUUAGAAUUUAGUUAGGAUUUGAUUUAGGGUUUAAGAUUUGGUUUAGGAUUUGGUUAGAAUUUUGUUUAAGAUUUAGUUGGAAUUUAGUUUAAGAUUUAUUUAGCGUUUGAUUUAGGAUUUAGGAUUUUAUUAGGAUUUAAGAUUUAAUUAGAUUUGGCCUAAAGUUUGAAUGAAGUUCAAUAGGAUUUUAACUAGAAUUAAAUUAAGAUUGAAUUGAGAUGUAUUUGAAUGAUAUUUGUGAUCCUUCUAAUAUUUCUUUAAGAAUUCUUAUUGUUUGUUUGAAAUUUCUUGAGGUUUUUUUGAAUUUGAUUAAGCUUGCUUAGCAUUAUUAUGAUCUAAUUAGAGCAUUGUUAGUAUUCUAUUAGAAUUAGGAUUUUGUUAUUGCAAUCUCCAUUCUUUCUUCCACAGCCAGGUGCUCGGAGCAUUUUCAAGCAAGAUUUCAUGUAUUACGACAACGGUCCCUAUUAUAGCUAAACAAAUUUGUUUUUUGAUAUUUUUUCAUCUUUCAAAAUUUAACUCCUCAUUUUGUAGUGGCAUUGUUUCUUUGGAUAAUAUUGAGGAGUGUGAUUAGCUUUCCCAUAAUAUAAACAUAUUCUUUUUUCAUGA